rnacentral:siRNA from 1 species
UUGUUUAUAGUCAAUAGCUUAA